AUUGAACGCUGGCGGCAUGCCUUACACAUGCAAGUCGAACGGUAACGGGCCUUCGGGUGCCGACGAGUGGCGAACGGGUGAGUAAUACAUCGGAACGUGCCCGAUCGUGGGGGAUAACGAGGCGAAAGCUUUGCUAAUACCGCAUACGAUCUACGGAUGAAAGCAGGGGACCGCAAGGCCCUGCGCGGACGGAGCGGCCGAUGGCAGAUUAGGUAGUUGGUGGGAUAAAAGCUUACCAAGCCGACGAUCUGUAGCUGGUCUGAGAGGAUGAUCAGCCACACUGGGACUGAGACACGGCCCAGACUCCUACGGGAGGCAGCAGUGGGGAAUUUUGGACAAUGGGCGCAAGCCUGAUCCAGCCAUGCCGCGUGCAGGAUGAAGGCCUUCGGGUUGUAAACUGCUUUUGUACGGAACGAAAAGCCUUCUUUUAAUACAGGAGGGUCAUGACGGUACCGUAAGAAUAAGCACCGGCUAACUACGUG
rnacentral:rRNA from 1 species